rnacentral:rRNA from 1 species
CCUACGGGAGGCAGCAGUGAGGAAUAUUGGUCAAUGGGCGUAAGCCUGAACCAGCCAAGUCGCGUGAGGGAUGAAGGUUCUAUGGAUCGUAAACCUCUUUUAUAAGGGAAUAAAGUGUGGGACGUGUCCUGUUUUGUAUGUACCUUAUGAAUAAGGAUCGGCUAACUCCGUGCCAGCAGCCGCGGUAAUACGGAGGAUCCGAGCGUUAUCCGGAUUUAUUGGGUUUAAAGGGUGCGUAGGCGGCCUUUUAAGUCAGCGGUGAAAGUCUGUGGCUCAACCAUAGAAUUGCCGUUGAAACUGGGAGGCUUGAGUAUGUUUGAGGCAGGUGGAACGCGUGGUGUAGCGGUGAAAUGCUUAGAUAUCACGCAGAACCCCGAUUGCGAAGGCAGCCUGCCAAGCCAUGACUGACGCUGAUGCACGAAAGCGUGGGGAUCAAACAGGAUUAGAUACCCCAGUAGUC